AUAACAAUACAGGACUCUUUAGAGGCCCUGUAAUUGUAAUGAGUACACUUGAAAUCCUUUAACUCUGAUUAAUUGUAGGGCAAGUCUGGUGCAGAGCGACUGACCCAUGUGUGCUGCAGCUGAAA